AACUAAGUUUGUUCUGGGUAUAAGCUUUUGUGUGCAUGCACACUUCUUCAGAUACACAGUGUAUCUGAAGAAGUGUGCUGGCACACAAAAGCUUUGUUGUUGUUUAGUCGUUU
rnacentral:miRNA from 1 species